CUAAGUACAAGCCUCACUAAGGUGAAACCGCGAAUGGCUCAUUAAAUCACACCUAAUCUACUGGAUAGUAAAAAGUUACUUGGAUAACUGCGGUAAUUCUGGAGCUAAUACAUGCACAAAGCCGCGACUCACGAAGCGGCGCUUUUAUUAGAUCAAAACCAAACGGCUUCGGCUGUACUCAUGGUGACUCUGAAUAACUUUGGGCUGAUCGCAUAGCCUUGAGCUGGCGACAUAUCCUUCGAUGUGCCCUAUCAACUUUCGACUGUGGCAUAGACGCCCACAGUUUUGACGGGUAACGGGGAAUCAGGGUUCGAUUCCGGAGAGGGAGCCUUAAAAACGGCUACCACAUCUAAGGAAGGCAGCAGGCACGCAAAUUACCCAAUGACCGAAGGUCGAGGUAGUGACGAAAAAUAACGAUAGAGGACUCCCGAGGCCCUCUAAUUGGAAUGAGUACACUUUAAAACCGUCCCCGAGGAUCUAUUGGAGGGCAAGUCUGGUGCCAGCAGCCGCGGUAAUUCCAGCUCCAAUAGCGUAUAUUAAAGUUGUUGUGGUUAAAAAGCUCGUAGUUGGAUCUCAACAGCCUUGAAGCGGUUAACUUUGUAGUUUUACUGCUUUAUAGGCUGUGCUUUUGCUGGAGGUUUAGGGGUGCUCUUGAUCGAGUGUCUCUGGAUGCCAGCAGGUUUACUUUGAAAAAAUUAUUUGCUCAAAGCAGGCUAAAAUGCUGAAUAUUCGUGCAUGGAAUAAUAGAAUAGGAUGUCGAUCCUAUUUUGUUGGUUUUCGGGACUCGACAUAAUGAUAAAUAGGGACAGUCGGGGCAUUUGUAUUCAAACGACAGAGGUGAAAUUCUUGGACCGUUUGAAGACAAACUACUGCGAAAGCAUUUGCCAAGAAUGUUUUCAUUAACGAAAGUUAGAGGUUCGAAGGCGAUUAGAUACCGCCCUAGCUAACCAUAAACGAUGCCAGCUAGCGAUCUGCCUGCGUUUUUACUGUAGACUGGGCAGGAAGCUUCCGGGAAACCAAAGCAUUUGUUGGUUCCAGGGGAAGUAUGGUUGCAAAGCUGAAACUUAAAGGUUGACGGAAGGGCACCACCAGGAGUGGAGCCUGUGGCUUAAUUUGACUCAACACGGGAAAUCUCACCAGGCCCGGACACUGGAAGGAUUGACAGAUUGAUAGCUCUUUCUUGAUUCGGUGGGUGGUGGUGCAUGGCCGUUCUUAGUUGGUGGAGUGAUUUGUCUGGUUAAUUCCGAUAACGAACGAGACUCUGUCCUGCUAAAUAGUUUCUACUUCUCUUUUGAGUAGAAAUUUCUUCUUAGAGGGACUGGUGACUCUUAGUACGAGAUUGAGCAAUAACAGGUCUGUGAUGCCCUUAGAUGUUCUGGGCCGCACACGCGCUACACUGAAUAGAUCAGCGUGUCACCCUUCCCGAAAGGGACGGGUAAACGCUUGAACCCUAUUCGUGGUAGGGAUCGGGGCUUGUUGUUCCCCGUGAACCAGGAAUUCCCAGUAGGCGCAAGUCAUAAGCUUGCGUCGAUUACGUCCCUGCCCUUUGUACACACCGCCCGUCGCUACUACCGAUUGAACAUUUUAGUGAGGUCCUCGGACUGUGAGCCAGGCGGGUCGCCCUGCCUGGUCUACGGGAAGACGACCAAA
rnacentral:rRNA from 1 species